CAAAGUGCUGGGAUUACAGGUGUGGGCCACUGCACCUAGCCUCAACCCUCUUUGUGUAAGACAAGUAACUUUGCUCAAGAUGAAUCCUUAGUGGACAAAAAUUUCCCUCUUGUCAGUUCUCUGCUUAUAUAGUUGCUUAUUUCUAAGUCUGACUCAGGCAAGAGGUUUGGCCCCCCACAAGUAGAAACUAAUGGGAGUGUUGUCAUUGGAACAUCUGCACGUGAAAAUGUGUUGGUGGUAAAGGGAUGGGAAACGUGUGUUGCCAAGGAGUUCCCAGCACCUGAAAGAAGCAGAAAGUGUGUGGCAAUUAAUUGUCCUAUAAAGGUUGGAAAUUGUAUAAAGCAA
rnacentral:lncRNA from 1 species